ensembl:lncRNA
CCACUCAGUGAUCCCAUGGUUUUAUGAUCCAUAGGGUCCUCCCAUCCCAACCACUCAGUGAUCCCAUGAUUCUAUGACCUAUAGGGGUCCUCCCAUCCCAACCACUCAGUGAUCCCAUGGUUUUAUGAUCUAUAGGGUCCCUUUUAACCCAACCACUCAGUGAUCCCAUGGUUCUAUGACCUAUAGGGUCCCUUUCAACCCAACCACUCUGUGAUCCCAUGGUUCUAUGACCUAUAGGGUCCCUUUUAACCCAACCACUCAGUGAUCCCAUGGUUCUAUGAUCUACAGGGUCCUCCCAUCCCAACCACUCAGUGAUCCCAUGGUUCUAUGGUCUAUAGGGUCCUCCCAUCCCAACCACUCAGUGAUCCCAUGGUUUUAUGAUCUAUAGGGUCCCUUUCAACCCAACCACUCAGUGAUCCCAUGGUUUUAUGAUCCAUAGGGUCCUCCCAUCCCAACCACUCAGUGAUCCCAUGAUUCUAUGACCUAUAGGGUCCCUUUCAACCCAACCACUCAGUGAUCCCAUGGUUUUAUGAUCCAUAGGGUCCUCCCAUCCCAACCACUCAGUGAUCCCAUGGUUUUAUGAUCUAUAGGGUCCCUUUCAACCCAACCACUCAGUGAUCCCAUGGUUCUAUGACCUAUAGGGUCCCUUUCAACCCAACCACUCAGUGAUUCCAUGGUUCUAUGGCCUAUAGGGUCCCUUUCAACCCAACCACGCGAUUCUGUGGUCUAUAGGGCCCAUCCUGACCCACAGCUCACAGCAUCAUGAGGCACACACAGAAAGCAGCGGUGCUCAAUGCCUCCUCUGCCCGCAGCGCCCAAACUGCAGAGAGCAAAGGAAGGAACUGAGAGAAGGACGAUCUGCCCCCCAAAGAUGAGGUCUGAAAGCAGCUGUAGGGCCUGAAGGUGCUAUGGGGCCGACGAGAUCCCUCCAUGGGUUCAGGGGGAGCUGCGGGGUGAUGCCGCCACGCUGCCCUCCAUCGUAUUCGGAAGGCGGUGGCAUUGGGAGACAUUCCCAUGGGAUGGAAAAGGGGACACACAGCUCCCGUUCCCAGGAAGGGGGAAAAUGGGGGGGGGGGGGAGAACUGCACAGCAGAGGUUUCCCCUCUGUGCCUGCGGGACUGUGGGGCACACAGGGGGGUCAUGGAAAAG